rnacentral:rRNA from 1 species
GACGAACGCUGGCGGCGUGCCUAACACAUGCAAGUCGAACGGGACCGGGGGCAACUCCGGUUCAGUGGCAGAUGGGUGCGUAACACGUGAGGAACUUGUCCGUCGGCGGGGGAUAGCCGGCCCAACGGCCGGGUAAUACCGCAUCCGCUCGCUCGGGGGCAUCCCUGAGCGAGGAAAGCAGCCGCAAGGUUGCGCCGGCGGAGAGUCUCGCGGCCUAUCAGCUUGUUGGCGGGGUAAUGGCCCACCAAGGCGACGACGGGUAGCUGGUCUGAGAGGAUGGCCAGCCACAUUGGGACUGAGACACGGCCCAGACUCCUACGGGAGGCAGCAGUGGGGAAUAUUGCGCAAUGGUCGCAAGACUGACGCAGCGACGCCGCGUGUGGGAUGACGGCCUUCGGGUUGUAAACCACUGUCGGGGGGGACGAAUACAGGGCUUCGAAUAGGAGACCCUGGGUGACGGUACCUCCAAAGGAAGCACCGGCUAACUCCGUGC